rnacentral:sRNA from 1 species
GCUGGGUACGGUGCACGUGCCUGUAAUCCCAGCAGCUCUGGAGGCUGAGACAGGAGGAUUGUGAAUUGAAAGCCAGCCUCAGCAACAGCGAGGUGCUAAGCAACUCAUUUUGAGACCCUGUCUCUA